rnacentral:rRNA from 1 species
GAAUUUUGCGCAAUGGGCUAACGCCUGACGCAGCAACGCCGCGUGGAGGAUGAAGGUCUUUGGAUUGUAAACUCCUGUCAGCAGGGAAAAAGCAACUCGGCCUCAUACGCCGGGAAGUUGAUUGUACCUGCAGAGGAAGCCCCGGCUCACUCUGUGCCAGCAGCCGCGGUAAUACAGAGGGGGCAAGCGUUAUUCGGAAUUAUUGGGCGUAAAGGGCGCGUAGGCGGCCUGGCAAGUGGAAGGUGAAAUCCCUCGGCUUAACCGAGGAACUGCCUCCCAAACUGCUUGGCUUGAGACCGGGAGAGGUGAGUGGAAUUCCCAGUGUAGCGGUGAAAUGCGUAGAUAUUGGGAGGAACACCAGUGGCGAAGGCGGCUCACUGGACCGGUACUGACGCUGAGGCGCGAAAGCGUGGGGAGCAAACGGG